UUGACUCUUCAGUGCAGUGUGGAGCCUAACAAAGAUCUGUUUUGUGUCCCAGCUGAUCAGCAGGAGGAGAAGAGUCUGACGGAGCAGCAGAGGAACAUUUUCAGCUACUUGGACUCAGCUCAGCCACUACAGAGAAAACAAUGAGCUCAACACAGAAGGACCUGCUGAGACCAUUUCAGUAAUCGUCUUCUUAACUCAGACGCACACUCUACAGGACGCAGCGGUAGCAUCUGUUCCACAAUGUAGCCUGGCAGGGCUGGACUGGGACAAAAAAUCGGCCCAGGCAUUUUGACUAGAGACCGGCCCACCAGGUAUUAUAGGAAAAUCCAUAAAGCCUUUGAAUGAAAACAAACGCUGUUGUCACAGUGAUGUACACUGUCUUGUUGGUGUAUAUGUAUCAAUCUAAUAAACCUAAACCUUCACCAUCCUCCCUAUUGUGGUAUUCUAAACAGUACCCGAAAGUAGACUGCUUUGUCGAGUUAACCUCCUGAACUAUCUACAACACAUGGUGAAAACCUGAAAGUAAGACAGAGAAGACUAGAGGUGAGAAAUGAUCAUUACUGAUUACUGAUGACAGAUUUAGAUAUAUUUUCAUAAACCAUUCAUUUGCCACAUCAAUAAACACCAUGGCAGGGCAAAAUAUUUUUUCUAACAUGGCAACCUUUAAAAAGUGAAAGGAGACAGAAAGACAGGUGAGAAAGAAAAACUUAAUCGACUUUUUGAUGGCAUGUUACACACAGUACUGGUACAGUAUCUAGAAAAUGUGGGAACAUGCUGGCAUCAUAAACAGUACUUAGCUACUUCUGAAGAAAUUAUGAUGGGACCCUAAAAAAAUACUAUGUACAAUAAUUGAUUUCUAUAUAUUUUACAUCAGAUGAAAACGUUUGUUGUAAGAUUCAGAGCGGUAAACAAACGAGAGAAAAGCCGAUCAGCUGAUCACUGAUCAGUUUCAUGAUUGAAGUAGAAACAGGAGAGGGAGGGGGAGAGAAUGAGAGGAGAAGAGGCAGCUGUGCAGCAAAGACAGAAUAACUCCAGCUUUUGUCUUUUUCAUUGUAGCUGAAAUACGGGACAAACUGUUGCUUUUCACCUCAAUACGAAACGCGCAAUAUUUUCUCUGUAUACGAGAGAGUUGCCGCGGUGUUAUCCAUGGAUGACGAACAAGGAUCACUCAGAAGUAUUCGUCUAUGCUCUCGUGUCAGGCGCUUCAGUAGAUUACUCGUGCUAUUAACAGCAGCCGAUAGUUUUUACAUGUUGCUGUAAUGUUCUUGUCUGC